GAGUUUGAUCAUGGCUCAGGAUGAACGCUAGCCGGCGUGCUUUAUGCAUGCAAGUCGAACGGCCCUGAUUUAUCAGGGCAGUGGCAAACGGGUGAGUAACACGUAAGUAACCUGCCCUUAAGUGGGGUACAACUCCGGGAAACCGGGGCUAAUACCGCAUGUGGUGGUGGAGCUCAAGUUCUAUCACUAAAGCCUUCGGGCGCUUGAGGAUGGGCUUGCGGACGAUUAGCUUGUUGGUGAGGUAAUGGCCCACCAAGGCUAUGAUCGAUAGCUGGUCUGAGAGGACGAUCAGCCACAUUGGGACUGAGACACGGCCCAGACUCCUACGGGAGGCAGCAGCAAGGAAUUUUGGGCAAUGGGCGAAAGCCUGACCCAGCAACGUCGCGUGGGGGAUGAAGGCUCUCGGGUUGUAACCCCCUUUUCCCAGGGAAGGAAUAAUGACGGUACCUGGGGAAUAAGUCUCGGCUAACUACGUGCCAGCAGCCGCGGUAAUACGUAGGAGGCGAGCGUUAUCCGGAUUUACUGGGCGUAAAGAGGGCGUAGGCGGUCCUUCAAGUCGGAUGUGAAAUCUCCCGGCUCAACUGGGAGGGGUCAUUCGAUACUGAUGGACUAGAGUGCAGCAGGGGGAGACGGAAUUCCCGGUGUAUUGGUGAUAUGCGUAGAUACCGGGAGGAACACCAGAGGCGAAGGCGGUCUCCCAGGCUGUUUCUGACGCUGAGGCCCGAAAGCGUGGGGAACGAACAGGAUUAGAUACCCUGGUAGUCCACGCUGUAAACGAUGGACACUAGGUAUAGGGAGUAUCGACCCUCUCUGUGCCGAAGCUAACGCUUUAAGUGUCCCGCCUGGGGACUACGGCCGCAAGGCUAAAACUCAAAGGAAUUGACGGG
rnacentral:rRNA from 1 species